ensembl:snRNA U6 U6 spliceosomal RNA
GUGCUCACUUUGGCAGCACAUACCCUAGAAUUGGAACAAUGCAAAGAUGAGCAUGGUCGCUGCACAAAGGACAACAUUCAGAUUUGCAUCCUAGUCCACAUUGUU